GCCUUCGUGGUGUAACGGUUAGCGCACUCGGCGCAUACUCGAGAGGUCCAGGUGCGAGUCCUGGCGAGGGCA
rfam:Stegodyphus mimosarum contig28222, whole genome shotgun sequence.